UAAGUGAGUUGCUUAAAGCGAAGAGUGUCU
rnacentral:piRNA from 1 species